GGACCCGUAGUGUAGCGGUUAACACGCCUCCCUGUCACGGAGGAGACCGAGGGUUCGAUUCCCUUCGGGUCCGCCA
rnacentral:tRNA from 1 species